rnacentral:lncRNA from 1 species
CGGCGGUCUGGUGGACGUGGGUGUUCGGGGACACUUGUCCCUCCUUACCGGGCUGUCCCUUUCCAAAGAUGUGCAGAGGACCUCGGCGGAAGCCUCAGCUCGGCGGGCGGGAGUUCCCCCGCGGGCGGACGGAAGCAGCUGUUUCCUGCGGUCGGGGCGAGCGGGCCGCACGGCCUCCUCCCGCUCCGAGGCCUCACUGUAUCCACCUCUGCAGCACUCACGCUCACUUCUGGCCCGGCAGCCCGCGUUCGAGGGACCCCUCAGCCUCGUGUGGGUGACAGAAGGCCAAAACGAUGGCAAGAAAACCACCGCAGCCCCCAAGAAGCCCUCUGGCGGGGGUGACUUCGACUUAAGCGAAGCUGUCGAUACCGGAGGAAACCGUGAGUAUGUCUUAAAACUCUUCAUUGUCACCAGUCUUGGGUCAUUCCUAAGAAGAACUCUCUUUUCUUUUGUCUUUUUGAGACAGGGUCUUGCUGUGCAGUUCAGGCUGGCGUCCAGCUCACUUUGUAGCCCAGGCUGGUCUCGAGCUCACAGUGACCCUCCUGCCUCAGCCUCCCAAGUGCUGGGGUUACAGAUGUGUGCUACCGUGCCUGGCCAGAACUCUAUCUUCUAAGUAGUGGGACUGUUUUUGAUGGAGUGCAGGGGAAUCCGUGGGUAUGGUGGUGGUGUUGCUUUUGCUGUUGUUUUGAUUUUUUUUAAAUUUUUUAAACCAGCAUUCUUAUUUUUGUUUUAGAACUCUUGAAUGAGCUUUCAAAACUUCUUGGGUGUGUAGCCCAUC